UCACUUGCAAAGUACAUUAUGGGGCUCCUUUGUUUAACAAGUCUCUGGGAGCUGUGAGAGAGAGAAUUAAUGCUGGCAUUUGGAAAGACAAGCGAUAGUGCUGCAUUGGAUUUGGGUUUCAUGUCAUUAUUUUCUGGUUCUAGAGUCAGAAAAAGCUGCUCAUUUACUUUUCAUGCAGCUGUACUGUUUUUUCCUGACUUCUUGAGGAGGCAGAGCUGAUGAAAUCGUGCUGUAGGAGACAGUUUCUCAGUUAAAUGCAUUUUAUUUUGACCUAUUUCCUUCCACUUGAGUCUAACAUUUGGUCUCUUCAUAGCCAAUAUUCUGUUUUAUGGAAAGGUUUUAAAGUUUUCCUGAAGGAGAUGAGUAAAAGCAAUCGAGAAAUGCCCUACAGUGCUCCCUGCACACAGGAGACAAGAAUGCAGAUGGUUAUGGAAACAGGCUUGAAACUUGCUUGAAAUAAAAAUCUCCGUUCUAUACUUGUG